UACGUAGGGGGCUAGCGUUGUCCGGAUUUAUUGGGCGUAAAGAGCGUGUAGGCGGCCAAGCAGGUCCGUUGUGAAAACUGGAGGCUUAACCUCCAGACGUCGACGGAAACCGCGUGGCUAGAGUCCGGAAGAGGAGAGUGGAAUUCCUGGUGUAGCGGUGAAAUGCGCAGAUAUCAGGAAGAGCACCAAUGGCGAAGGCAGCUCUCUGGGACGGUACUGACGCUGAGACGCGAAAGCGUGGGGAGCGAACAGG
rnacentral:rRNA from 1 species